GACGAACGCUGGCGGCGUGCUUAACACAUGCAAGUCGAACGAUGAAGCUGGAGCUUGCUCUAGCGGAUUAGUGGCGAACGGGUGAGUAACACGUGAGCAAUCUGCCCUUGACUCUGGGAUAACUGCGGGAAACUGUAGCUAAUACCGGAUACUUUCACCGGGGGGCAUCCUCUGGUGAUGAAAGAAUUUCGGUCAAGGAUGAGCUCGCGGCCUAUCAGCUUGUUGGUGAGGUAACGGCUCACCAAGGCGACGACGGGUAACCGGCCUGAGAGGGUGACCGGUCAGACUGGGACUGAGACACGGCCCAGACUCCUACGGGGGGCAGCAGUGGGGAAUAUUGCACAAUGGGCGCAAGCCUGAUGCAGCAACGCCGCGUUAGGGAUGAAGGCCUUCGGGUUGUAAACCUCUUUUAGCAGGGAAGAAGCGAAAGUGACGGUACCUGCAGAAAAAGCACCGGCUAACUACGUGCCAGCAGCCGCAGUAA
rnacentral:rRNA from 1 species